rnacentral:tRNA from 8 species
GGGUUAUUAGCUCAGUUGGUAGAGCAGCUGACUCUUAAUCAGCGGGUCGGGGGUUCGAACCCCUCAUAACCCA